GAUUAUGGCUCAGGACGAACGCUGGCGGCGUGCUUAACACAUGCAAGUCGAACGAUGACGGUGGUGCUUGCACUGCCUGAUUAGUGGCGAACGGGUGAGUAACACGUGAGUAACCUGCCCUUCACUUCGGGAUAACCUCGGGAAAUCGAGGCUAAUACCGGAUAUGAGCUUCUGCCGCAUGGUGGGGGUUGUAAAGAUUUAUCGGUGAGGGAUGGACUCGCGGCCUAUCAGUUUGUUGGUGAGGUAAUGGCUCACCAAGGCGAUGACGGGUAGCCGGCCUGAGAGGGCGACCGGCCACACUGGGACUGAGACACGGCCCAGACUCCUACGGGAGGCAGCAGUGGGGAAUAUCGCACAAUGGGCGAAAGCCUGAAUGCAGCGACGCCGCGUGGGGGAUGACGGCCUUCGGGUUGUAAACCCCUUUCAGUAGGGAAGAAGCGAGAGUGACGGUACCUGCAGAAGAAGCGCCGGCUAACUACGUGCCAGCCGCUGC
rnacentral:rRNA from 1 species